rnacentral:rRNA from 1 species
UACGUAGGGGGCAAGCGUUGUCCGGAUUCAUUGGGCGUAAAGAGCUCGUAGGCGGUUCGGCAAGUCGGGUGUGAAAACUCCAGGCUCAACCUGGAGACGCCACCCGAUACUGCUGUGACUUGAGUCCGGUAGGGGACCACGGAAUUCCUGGUGUAGCGGUGAAAUGCGCAGAUAUCAGGAGGAACACCAAUUGCGAAGGCAGCUCGCUGGGACGUUACUGACGCUGAGACGCGAAAGCGUGGGGAGCAAACAGG